AAUUCGCCCUUAGAGUUUGAUCCUGGCUCAGGACGAACGCUGGCGGCAGGCUUAACACAUGCAAGUCGAACGAGAAGCUUUCCUUCGGGGAGGCGGAGAGUGGCGAACGGGUGAGUAACGCGUGGGGAUUUACCCUUCGGUGGGGGACAACCUCGGGAAACCGGGGCUAAUACCGCAUACGCCGGUGCCUGAUGGUAUCGGGAAAGAUUUAUCGCCGAAGGCUGAACCCGCGUCCGAUUAGGUAGUUGGUGGGGUAACGGCUCACCAAGCCCGCGAUCGGUAGCUGGUCUGAGAGGACGAUCAGCCACACUGGGACUGAGACACGGCCCAGACUCCUACGGGAGGCAGCAGUGGGGAAUUUUGGACAAUGGGGGCAACCCUGAUCCAGCCAUGCCGCGUGAGUGAAGAAGGCCUUAGGGUUGUAAACCUCUUUCACCGGUGACGAUAAUGACGGUAGCCGGAGAAGAAGCCCCGGCUAACUCCGUGCCAGCAGCCGCGGUAAUACGGAGGGGGCUAGCGUUGUUCGGAAUUACUGGGCGUAAAGCGCGCGUAGGCGGCGAAACAAGUUGGGCGUGAAAGCCCGGGGCUCAACCCCGGAGGUGCGUCCAAAACUGUUUUGCUCGAGACCGAGAGAGGGUGGCGGAAUUCCCAGUGUAGAGGUGAAAUUCGUAGAUAUUGGGAAGAACACCAGUGGCGAAGGCGGCCACCUGGCUCGGACCUGACGCUGA
rnacentral:rRNA from 1 species